rnacentral:rRNA from 1 species
GACCCCAGGUCAGGCGGGACUACCCGCUGAAUU